CCGAGUUUACAACUCCCAAACCCCCUGUGAACAUACCUAUUGUUGCUUCGGCGGGAUCGCCCCGGCGCCUUCGGGCCCGGACCCAGGCGCCCGCCGGAGGACCCAAACCCUUGUAUUAUUUUUGAGUAUCUUCUGAGUAAACAAGCAAAUAAAUUA
rnacentral:misc_RNA from 1 species